rnacentral:rRNA from 1 species
GGAUCCUUAGUGAUCUUGGUGGCGCAGCUAACGCGAUAAGUAGACCGCCUGGGGAGUACGGCCGCAAGGUUAAAACUCAAAUGAAUUGACGGGGGCCCGCACAAGCGGUGGAGCAUGUGGUUUAAUUCGAUGCAACGCGAAGAACCUUACCAGGUCUUGACAUCCUCGGAAUUUGGCAGAGAUGCCUUAGUGCCUUCGGGAGCCGAGUGACAGGUGCUGCAUGGCCGUCGUCAGCUCGUGUCGUGAGAUGUUGGGUUAAGUCCCGUAACGAGCGCAACCCUUGUCCUUAGUUGCCAGCACGUAAUGGUGGGAACUCUAGGGAGACUGCCGGUGACAAACCGGAGGAAGGUGGGGACGACGUCAGGUCAUCAUGGCCCUUACGACCUGGGCUACACACGUGCUACAAUGGCUGGUACAGAGGGUUGCGAAGUCGCGAGGCGGAGCUAAUCCCUUAAAGCCAGUCGUAGUCCGGAUUGGAGUCUGCAACUCGACUCCAUGAAGUCGGAAUCGCUAGUAAUCGCGGAUCAGAAUGCCGCGGUGAAUACGUUCCCGGGCCUUGUACACACCGCCCGUCACACCAUGGGAGUGGAUUGCACCAGAAGUGGCUAGUCUAACUUCGGAGGACGGUCACCACGGUGUGGUUCAUGACUG